UUUUGAUUUAGUCCAGUUGUGCUGACCUCUCCUGUAUUGUGUGUUGUCUUUCCCUUCACCUAAAAUAGUUCUUAUCCGCUAUCUACUUAGUGUGGUUGUUGGGUGCUGUUGAGUAAAUUCCAACUUAUUGCGACCAUAUAGGACAAAGUAGAACUGCCCCAAAGGGUUUAUUGGGUGUAAUCUUUACAGGAGCAGAUUGCCAGGUCUUUCUCCCUGGGAGUUGCUGGGUAGAUUUGAACCACCUUUUGGUUUACAGCGGAACGCUUAACCUUUGCACCACCAGGGUUCCAUUCAUAAAGAUUAUAGCCAAGAAAAUCCUAUGUAUUAGUUGUACACUGUAACACAUGGGAUUGCCAUGAGUUGGGACUGGACAAUAACAGAUUUGUUUUAUUUAAUGUGACCAAUAUUGUGACUCCAUGUAUGCAGAAUAGAACGGUCAUAGCCUCCUCUUUGACUCCAUUACCCAGCAAGGAGUAGAAGAUGCUCAUGAUGUGGUUGUUGGAUUCAUUCAUUCAGUUCAGUGCACCUUCCUCACUCCAGGGACACUUCACCCUGUUUAAUGCCAUGUGGUUCUCCCUCCGACCCCUUCUGAGUCCCAUACCUGGCAGGACUGGCUCUCCUGAGCAUCUAGAAGCUGUGAUCCACAGAGCUUGGACAGGCAGCAUCUGUUUUCCUGAUGUGGACAGUGGUGCAUGAGGGGAAGCCCACAGACAGAGAGCCAGGAGCUGGAGACGGAAUCUUCCUCAGCUGUGUGUGACCCCACUGGGACUCCACCUAGAAAGCAGAAACAGUUUCCCUCCAGGGCUCUGACAGCAUGUGGUAUGAGGUUCUUCUUCUGUGGUUAGUCACUUUUCUGACCUCAUCCCUGAGCUUCCUAUUGGGGCUCCUUCACAGUCCUCUGACACCAGGGCCCUGUGCGCCUAACUCCAAAGAUGCUGCUGCUGCUGUUGCCCUUGCUGUGGGCAGGGCUGGACUGACCCUGUUUAUGGCUACUGGUUCCAGAAUGAGGACAAUUAUGUCUCCAAUGCUCCAGCAGCCACUAAUGACCCAGCUAGAAAAGUGCGGGAGGAGGCCAAGAACCAAUUCCACCUCAUUGGAGACCCACAGGAUUAUAACCGUUCCCUGGAUAUCAGAGAUGCCAGGAUGGUGGACACAGGAUCAUAUGUCUUUAAGGUCAUCAGAGGACGUUAUGUGAAAUACAGUUUCAAAUAUAAUCAGCUCUAUGUGCAUGUGACCAGUAAGGAUUGGGGUCAGGGAAAGGCUACAGGGGAAGGUCAUGGCCCCCAGGACAGGAGAGGGGUGGAACCCCUCGAUCUUCAUCCUGGGAGAGACUGAGGGGAACAGGACACCGGCGCUGGCUGGGGAGAAGCAAGCCAUCUUGAGACAGAGGUUGCUUUCAGGGGCCACUGAGGAUCCCCAUCUCCGUGGUCUCGAUACCUAUCUCUCUCUUUCUCCCCAGCCCUGACACAGACAUCCACAUCCAGGGAAUCCUCAAGUCAGGCCACCCCACGAACAUAACUUGUAAGGUGCCGUGGGCCUGUAAGAGGGGGACGCCCCUCACCUUCUCCUGGAUUGGGGUUGCCCUCAAAACCCUGGGCUCCAAGACUCCCCACUCCUCGGAGCUCACCCUCACCCCAGAGCCACGUCACCGCGGUACCAACCUUACCUGCUGAGCGACUUUCCCUGGAGCAGGUGCGGCCACGGAGAGUACCACCAGCUCAAUGUGUCCUAUGCUCCACAGAACCUGACUAUCAGUGUGUUCCAGGAGAAUAACACAGAAGUAGACCACCAGGUCUAUUUUCUAGCCUGUCUUCGUCUGAAAGCUCUGCUGAAACUUUUCUACUACGGGUGAUCCUGCUGAUAUUUGAAUUCUGGUGGCACAGCUUCCAGCAUCACAGCAACACUCAAGCCACCACAGUAUGACAAACUGACAGAUGUGUGGUGGAAGCACCUCUGGGGAGUUUCAAGUCAUCAACCUUUUGGGUAACAGUUGAGCACUUAACCACUUGCACCACCCUGGGACAAAUAAAAUGACAGGCCAUCAAAAUGUUUAAGUAAAAGAGUGACUAAGUGUGAUUUAUAUUUAAAAAAGAAAAAAAAAAAAACUAGCUGAUGUAUUGAGAAGGCACUUUGGAAGGGGCCAAAGUAGAAGCAGAAAGACUAAUCGGUAGGUUAUCACCAUCACAUAGAUGAGUGAUGAUUAGGGCUUGGACCAGGGCAGUGACUCUCCAUUGGGGGUGAUUUUGCUACCUAAUUGACAAUGCCUGGAGACAUUUUGGUUGUCACAUCUGUCACAUUUGGUCGACAUCUGGUGGGUAGAGGCCAGAGAUACUGCUAAAAAUUGUAUCCUGUUCCUGUUGCCGUGGAGUUGAUCCCGAUUCAUUGCAAGCUUAUAGGACAGAGUAGAACUGCCCCACAGGGUUUCCAAGGCUGUAAGCUUUGUGGAAGUAUACUGCCAUGUCUUUCUCCUGUGGAGCAGCUGAUGGGUUCAAACUGCAGACCUUUAGUUAGUAGCCGAGCACUUCACCACUGGACCACCAGGGCUCCUUGAAAAUCUUAUAAUGCACAGAAUGCAUGUCAAUAGUGCUGAGGCUGAGAAAUCCUGAACAAGGCAAUGGCAGUGGGGAUGAGGGUAAGUGAAUACAUUUUUUAAAUACCUUAAAAUUUGAACUGAUAGCUCUCAUGGCUAGUUUGGAUAUGGAGAUAAGGCCAAGGAAGAAAUCAGAAUAAAGCUAAGAUGUGGAUAGAUGUUAUAUCACAUGGCGCUGAGCUUUAGAAAACUGGUGAAGGAGAUGGUUUGAGGUGACAAAUCAGGAGUUCUUCAAGAUCAUGUAAAGUUUGAGAUGUCCAUUCUAUAUCGCUAAGUAGAUGUCAAAUAAAUGGGGAAUUUCCAGGGUUAAAAUACAAUUUUAUGAGUAGUCAGCAUGACUUUUCUUUUCUUAUUGUAUUUUAGAUGAAGGUUUACAGAACCAAACUAGUUUCUCAUUAAACAGUUAGUACACAUAUUGUUUUAUGACAUUGGUUAACAACCUCACGACAUGUCAACACUUUCCCUUCUCAAUCUUGGGUUCUCUAUUACCAGCUUUCUUGUCCCUUCUGGUCCUUCCCCAGGGCUGGUGUGCCUGUUUCGUCUCAUUUUGUUUUAUGGGCCUGUCU